rnacentral:rRNA from 1 species
UUAACAGAACUGUGGGGACACGUAAGGAGAGCGGGAGCCGGGAAUGGAAAGCCCGGUACAAGCGAGGUACCAGUACGGUAGGAAAAUCCGCCGUGCAAUGGGAAGACGUGAUGUGGAGUGAAAUAUAGUAACGAAGCCCGUGAGCCAUGCGUCAAGAAAAGCCGCUAUUGUUUAUACUGUACCCGUACCGUAAACCGACACAGGUGGAUGAGGAGAGAAUCCUAAGGCCGGCGGAAGAAGUAUUGCCAAGGAACUCGGCAAAAUGGCCCCGUAACUUAGGGAGAAGGGGUGCCUGCGAGAGCAGGCCGCAGAGAAUAGGCUCAAGCAACUGUUUAGCAAAAACACAGGUCUAUGCGAAACCGAAAGGUGAGGUAUAUGGGCUGACGCCUGCCCGGUGCUGGAAGGUUAAGAGGAGAGGUUAGACGCAAGUCGAAGCUUUGAAUUUAAGCCCCAGUAAACGGCGGCCGUAACAAUAACGGUCCUAAGGUAGCGAAAUUCCUUGUCGGGUAAGUUCCGACCCGCACGAAAGGCGUAAUGAUUUGAGCGCUGUCUCGGCAAUACAUCCGGUGAAAUUGAAGUGCCAGUGAAGAUGCUGGCUACCCGCGCCAGGACGGAAAGACCCCAUGGAGCUUUACUCCAGUUUGGCACUGGGGUCCGGUGUUGCAUGUACAGGAUAGGUGGGAGGCUGAGAGAUAGUGACGUCAGUUGCUAUGGAGCCGCUGUUGGGAUACCACCCUUGUGAUAUUGGGCUUCUAACCAGCCGCCGUGAACCGGCGGUGGGACAAUGCCAGGCGGGGAGUUUGACUGGGGCGGUCGCCUCCGAAAGGGUAUCGGAGGCGCCCAAAGGUUCCCUCAGAAUGGACGGAAACCAUUCGAAGAGUGCAAAGGCAGAAGGGAGCUUGACUGCGACACCGACGGGUGGAGCAGGUACGAAAGUAGGGCUUAGUGAUCCGGUGGUAUUAAGUGGGAAUGCCAUCGCUCAACGGAUAAAAGCUACCCUGGGAUAACAGGCUUAUCACUCCCAAGAGUUCACAUCGACGGAGUGGUUUGGCACCUCGAUGUCGGCUCAUCGCAUCCUGGGGCUGUAGUAGGUCCCAAGGGUUGGGCUGUUCGCCCAUUAAAGCGGUACGCGAGCUGGGUUCAGAACGUCGUGAGACAGUUCGGUCCCUAUCCGGCGUGGGCGCAGGAUAUCUGAGAGGAGCUGUCCUUAGUACGAGAGGACCGGGAUGGACGGACCGCUGGUAGACCGGUUGGCUUGCCAAAGCCAUGGCCGGGUAGCCAAGUCCGGAAGGGAUAAACGCUGAAGGCAUCUAAGCGUGAAGCCCCCCUCAAGAUGAGAUAUCCCAUUCUUUAAGAAGUAAACCCCCUUGAAGACGACGAGGUAGAUAGGGCAGAGGUGGAAGUGUGGUAACACAUGGAGCUGACUGUUACUAAUCGGGUGAGGGCUUGAUC